UACGGGGGGGGCAAGCGUUGUUCGGAAUUACUGGGCGUAAAGGGCUCGUAGGCGGCCAACUAAGUCGGACGUGAAAUCCCCAGGCUCAACCUGGGAACUGCGUCCGAUACUGGAUGGCUUGAAUCCGGGAGAGGGAUGCAGAAUUCCAGGUGUAGCGGUGAAAUGCGUAGAUAUCUGGAGGAACACCGAUGGCGAAGGCAGCCAUCUGGACCGACACUGACGCUGAGGCGCGAAAGCGUGGGGAGCAAACAGG
rnacentral:rRNA from 1 species